rnacentral:rRNA from 1 species
AAUGAACGCUGGCGGCAUGGCUAAGACAUGCAAGUCGAACGGACCAGAUAAUUGGGUAACCGAAAGUAUGGUUAGUGGGGAGAGGGUGAGGAAUAGAUAGGAACGUACCCUGUGCUCUGGGAUAGCGUCUGAAGCUUCGGCUUCUUCCGAAAGGGGCGGUAAGUACCAGAUAAUGUCCUUCGGGACCAAAGAUUUAUCAUCAUUGUACGCUGUCUAUCUCCUAUCAGCUAGUUGGUGAGGUAACGGCUCACCAAUGCAACGACGGGUAGCGGGACUGAUAGGUUGGCCCGCCACAUCGAGACUGAGACACUGCCCGGACCUCCACGGAGUGGCUGCAUUAACGGAUAUUGGGCCAUGGGCGAAAGCCUGACCCAGCAAUGCCGAUUGCAGGAUUAAGCCCCUAGGGGUGUAAACUGCUGUCAGGGGUCAGAAAGCUGGUAUCGGGCAGUUGAUCAACCCCAGAGGAAGUCACGGCUAACUUCGUGCCAGCAGCCGCGGUAAUACGAAUGUGUGCAAGCGUUAUUCGGAAUCAUUGGGCUU